AGACCCGAAACCCGGUGAUCUAGCCAUGGGCAGGUUGAAGGUUGGGUAACACUAACUGGAGGACCGAACCGACUAAUGUUGAAAAAUUAGCGGAUGACCUGUGGCUGGGGGUGAAAGGCCAAUCAAACCGGGAGAUAGCUGGUUCUCCCCGAAAGCUAUUUAGGUAGCGCCUCGUGAAUUCAUCUCCGGGGGUAGAGCACUGUUUCGGCUAGGGGGCCAUCCCGGCUUACCAACCCGAUGCAAACUGCGAAUACCGGAGAAUGUUAUCACGGGAGACACACGGCGGGUGCUAACGUCCGUCGUGAAGAGGGAAACAACCCAGACCGCCAGCUAAGGUCCCAAAGUCAUGGUUAAGUGGGAAACGAUGUGGGAAGGCCCAGACAGCCAGGAUGUUGGCUUAGAAGCAGCCAUCAUUUAAAGAAAGCGUAAUAGCUCACUGGUCGAGUCGGCCUGCGCGGAAGAUGUAACGGGGCUAAACCAUGCACCGAAGCUGCGGCAGCGAACGUAUCACUUAAAGCGAUUCAGCGGGUUACGACUGACGGAGCGAAGCGACGUCAAAGCGUAUACAAAGUCGAGUCGGUUUAAGGAUACGUUCGUUGGGUAGGGGAGCGUUCUGUAAGCCUGCGAAGGUGGCCUGUGAGGGUUGCUGGAGGUAUCAGAAGUGCGAAUGCUGACAUAAGUAACGAUAAAGCGGGUGAAAAGCCCGCUCGCCGGAAGACCAAGGGUUCCUGUCCAACGUUAAUCGGGGCAGGGUGAGUCGACCCCUAAGGCGAGGCCGAAAGGCGUAGUCGAUGGGAAACGGGUUAAUAUUCCCGUACUUGGUGUUACUGCGAAGGGGGGACGGAGAAGGCUAUGUUGGCCGGGCGACGGUUGUCCCGGUUUAAGCGGGUAGGUGUGUGUUCCAGGUAAAUCCGGUUCACUUUAACACUGAGGCGUGACGACGAGGCACUACGGUGCUGAAGCAACAAAUGCCCUGCUUCCAGGAAAAGCCUCUAAGCAUCAGGUAACAUCAAAUCGUACCCCAAACCGACACAGGUGGUCAGGUAGAGAAUACCAAGGCGCUUGAGAGAACUCGGGUGAAGGAACUAGGCAAAAUGGUGCCGUAACUUCGGGAGAAGGCACGCUGACACGUAGGUGAAGUGGUUUACUCACGGAGCUGAAGUCAGUCGAAGAUACCAGCUGGCUGCAACUGUUUAUUAAAAACACAGCAC
rnacentral:rRNA from 1 species